GACGUAGGGGGCGAGCGUUGUCCGGAUUUAUUGGGCGUAAAGCGUGCGUAGGCGGCUGCGCAAGUCGGUUGUGAAACCCCGGGGCUCAACCCCGGAACUGCAUCCGAUACUGCGUGGCUAGAGGUAGGUAGGGGAGAUCGGAAUUCCUGGUGUAGCGGUGAAAUGCGUAGAUAUCUGGAGGAACACCGGUGGCGAAGGCGGCAUCCUGGACCAACACUGACGCUGAGGAGCGAAAGCCAGGGGAGCAAACGGG
rnacentral:rRNA from 1 species